GAAGGUGAUGAUUCUACAUGUCGCCCCAGUCUUACUUGCGUCCUCUAUUGGGCGCCCAUGGUGAACGACAAUUCCCUCUGAUC